CCCCGUGAGCGCAGGUGCAAUCAAUGAGGUUGAUGGCUCGUUAGCAGCUUUUGUGCUCCGUUAUCGUCCCAUCCCUCCCCCCUUCCGCUCGGGUAAACGGUCACUCCUCGCGGUCACCUCCCCCGGCCACGGAGCUCAGCCCUGGGAGGGGGGGGGCAGGCCUGGAGAAGUUUCUGGAACAGCUCCAGGCGGGUCCCCGCGCUGGAAAAGGGUCUUUGGGGAGCGGAGCCCCCGGUGAACAGGGACUGAGGAGACUCCCCGGGACUGAGAGCCCUCACCUGCCCCUUGAGUUUUCCAGCUGCAGAGUUGAGUGUGAGAAGAGGUUCUUGUAAGACUUUCACCUAAUGCUGGGCUCACAGAAUCACAGAGGUUGGAAGGAACCCCCGAGCAUCAUUGAGGUCCCUGAGGACCACGACGCGUCCUUGGCAGGAAACCACAGGUGUUGUUCCAGGCGCUGCCUUCCCCAGCUGCUCCUCGUUCUCCAGCCCCAGUCUCCAGCUGCUUUCAGUUGCCGCAGUUUGGGGAGAAGUUCAAGGUUUGAUGGAAACCUCGUCCCCAUCUGCUCUGCAGAGAGAUUGUCAGGAAAGAGGUGAAGUCCAUCACCCAAAGCAGAACAACCCAAAGCAGAACAACCAACGCUGAGGGCAAGCAUCACUUUUGUCUCGGCAGCGUUGCUGCCCACACUUGGGAUGGAUGCGGAUGGUGACAAUGGCAAAAUAAGACUAGAUUUGAGGGGAAAAGGAUGCUCAGCAACCCAAGAGGAACUCGAUCUCAGGGGAGCCCGGUGAUCAGACUUGAAGAGGAGAAAGAGAGAUACGCAGCAGCAGACACAGACGAGAGGAGCAGCUGGAUGUGGCCCAUGAUGUGAUAUUCCCCUUAACCCAGUAGCAUCUCGGGGAGGAAGAGGAGGAGGACGCAUCCCCAGCAGCAGAAUCUGUGCAACUUCACGUUUCUGAGCUAUAAACCUUUCAAUAGCUGGAAGUAAAUCCUUCAGCUUUCUCCUAGAGCUCAGCCUCUGCAGCUGCAAAUUUAUUUGGCGGGCGGAAAAUCGGGCCAAAAGAAGUAAAUAUGAGCGAUGUGACUGAUAGUGCUAGAACAUUACACAAGCUCCCACGUGGCUGUGGUGGAAGGUGAGUCCCUGGCGGAUGGUUCAAGAAGCUGGAGCCGUCGUCCUUCCCGGGAUGCUGGGCAAGGGAGGGAAAAAACAUUUGUGGAGGUGGGGGGUGUGCAGAGCUCAGCUCUGGAGUGACAGUUUUGGGGUACAAGUGCUGCAGGCGAGGACAAUACCCUGCUCUGGUUUGUUCAUCAUGCUACGCAUUCACUUGUUUCACAUUAGGGACAUGGUGGACUUGACAGUGUUGAUGGUUGCAUUCAAUAAUCUUAAAGGUUUUUUCCAACCAGAAUGACUCAGUGAUUCUAUAAGGCUGUUUGUGACUACUGGAGUAGGGCUGGAGGUUCAGCUUUUGGGACUAGCAUGCACAUGGCAGCGGCAACACCGCGGAGGUCCUGCUAAUUGUGAGACUGUCAGAGCAAAAAAGGCUUAAAAGCAAAAAGAUACCACCGCAUAGCAGGUGAGUGUUUUGCCACGUGUGUUACCCCAUCACUGUCCCCAAUCAGCGCUCGGUGCAUUAAGCAACCACUCCGGGACGAGUCUCCUGGCAUCGCCGUGCUCGGGCAGCUCUGCUGGGAUGCGGGUUUGCCCGCAGGGAUUUGGCAGCAGCCACAGUGCAAAGGGUGGGGAGGAACCCCAGGUCACACCUGGAAAAUCACAGCGGUUGUCCGGAUUCGGAGGCAGAGGGAGAACUUUGAAUCUGUCCUCUGGACUCUCUUUGCACAGCAACCAGCGCUUCCCCAGGAGCAUCUUGUGCUGCGCAUUAAGGGGCUGUAGAUUAGGAGAUGAACACCCCUGCGAACCCGUUCCAAAGGGUGGGUAAAUGUAUUUCUUUUCCGUGUAAAAGCAAGUGAGCUAAUGUUUUAAAUCCUGCUCUCCAGGUUUCUGCAUUCGGGGCCGCUCUCUAGCUCUGCCCAGAAACCGAGGGAGCCACGAGAAGGCUGGUUUUUAGGAACUGUCAGGAGUUGCUGCCACUUUUAGUACUCGACACCUCAGAGAGCAGAAUCCCCCCCCGGCCUCCUGGUUCACCCCGCGCUGGAGACGAGUUUCCAUUAGCGCUGUGAGCAAAACGAAUCACCACAGUGGUAUCAAAGGAAACUUUUCCAAGCUGUUGAUGUACAGCAAAGGGCCAGUCUCAUUCAUAUAACUCAGCAUUUAACGGUCUCAGACCACGGCGCUGUGUCUGCAGGAGCUCGCUUGGGUUCUCACGAUGGCUUUGGAGUUAGGUUCUUAAGCUGAAACGACACCGCAGCUGUUAAGCAGAGCAUCUACACGAGCGGCUGAUGGAAGCAGAGCUGUGAGAUCCAGAAGUACCUGCUGGCUUUGAUAGCAACGACAAACCGGAGUUCCCGUCCCACCAGAAUCCCCACAGGUCGUUGUCAGGAAGGGCUUGUGUGAGGCUGCAGCAGCCCCUGGCAGUGAUGGAGCCGUUCAGUGAUCCACCAUCAGCCCCGUCACCUGCACUCAGCUCCCUCCUUGGAAAAACAUGCAAUUUUCCAAAGGGUUUUAAUUUGUUAAAGGUGGAGAUUUUUCAUGCAUUGCAGGUCAAGGCUGAAGACUGGUCAAUGAAGACUGGUCAGAUUUCCCACCAAACCAAACAAAACACAAUGCUGGUAAGUUCCUGCCCUGCACUUCCGCAAGGUAAUAUCAUGUAUAUGUGUGUGCAAUUAAUUCACUGUUUUUCCCUCCCCCUGGAUGCACAAGCAAGUAUUUUUGUUCAUAUGAGCAGAUCAGUUCAGCAAUGCUGCUUUUAGCUGCACUUCCAAGGUUUUUUGUGUCAACGGGAACAUUGGGUCAAGUUGCAAACAGGCCUGGAAAAUCUGGUGCAGCAUCUCUAACGCUAUUGACAGGGCCUGUUUAUAUCCGGCAUUGCCAAGCUAACAGUUGUCAUUCAGCUCUUGAGCACAUUUUGCACCAUCUCAUCUAUUUUUCAUGUCUUGCACCCUCCGUGACACCCUUAUCAGUCCCCGAGUGCGUUCAUUCUGCUUCAGCGCAGUCACAAGUAAACCUGCAUAAUGGCUCAGAUAGCAAAAGGAUGCUCAAUUUCUGCAAAAGAAACCCAAACCCUCACUGUGUUUAUUGUAGAUUCUAUAAGUGACUUCUUCAUAGCAGGAACUCAAAAAAACAACCCCAAAACACCACAGUGUUUGAUAGCAGAGGAGGGAUGAGGAGAUUGGAUUAAAACAUCUGGCGAGGUAAUUAGAUUCACUAAAAGUUUACACUCCAAACUGCCCCCACAUAAUUGAUGGGACAGCCGUGCUGUGUCACUUCCACUUACGCCCGCGCUCCCCUCCGCGCCUGACCCGCUGCGUCCCCCAUUAAACCUGCAAUUACGGGGUGACUCUUAAUAGCGAGGUCUCGCUUCAGCGUGGGGAAAAAUGUUUCUGUAGCUCACACGCAACAAUUAAAGAUAAUUUAAAAUGUAAGUAAUUGCGGUGGGUUACUGGAAACUACUGUAGAGGUCUUGUCCCAGGCAGCUGACAGGCAUGGUUGGUGUAUUUUGACAAGUUUUGCACAGAUACCCACUAGCAGCUCUAUUUUAUUUGGAGUCAUUGGUCGGGAAAUGGAGAUUGUGAAAGGUCAGGCCUGGAAGAUUUGGGAGGGGAUGGAGGUCUUAUUCACAUUGUGCUCCAUGGGGAUCUAGUUCCAAUCUAAAUCUCUCUUGUUUCUGCUUUGAGAAAGGGAAGGACCGAUCUGCAGAGAAGAGCUGCUCGAGUUCCUCUCGCCCUUGCAGAGACACCAGGUGAGGUGGGACCUAAAACAUCCACCUGCUCUCUGGAAACCCAUAGAAACCCGGUGAGUCGGGCUCGAGCGACCCCUCAAACACCAAAAUGUUUGGUUGGAUCUCCACCCCACCACCAGCAUUCCAAUAAACCUCUUCGCUUGCAAAACGAGAGUUGAAACCGCAACUAUUCGGAGGCAUCUGUAAGGUCAGCAACGUGUGAACACCCCACAGAACGCACCCGGGGGCUCGCAGAGGUUCAGCGCUCCCCGAAAUGAGUUUUGUGUCAUGGGAACAGACUGGCGGAUGAGUCUGGAUGGUGCCACAUGGUCCCAACGAUAAUGAGCCAUCUGUGUGCGUCGUGCUGUGCGACCUUCCCGCUCCCUGCUGGAUCUCCAUCGCUUUUCUUCCACGUCCUCGCUGCUUUGACCUACAGUGAAGGAACACAACAAAUGCCAGCAGAGCACAGGGUUAAAUAUGGGCUCAGCUACCAACACCCUAACAAAGAGCAAGUCCAUCUAAGAGUGAAAAAUAAGCGUGUGAAAAAUAGGAUAAUCCAUAAAAUGGAAAAGAACCCAUCAGGAAUAUAAUCACUUUCUGCCGCACGUCACCGAUUUAGGCUCCUGUCUCAUUUAGUGAGACUUUUGCUCCUAAAUCAUGUGAGGUGGGGUUUGAAGAGACAUUUUAAUCACAGGAUGCAGAGAGAAACUUGUAUAGUUGAAAAUUCCACUAUUUCUUGUUCUAUAGCUGGAUUUCUAAAUUAUGUUCAAAAGCUAGAGCUCACACCUUUGUAUUAUACAGCUUUUCAGGUUCUGCUGCUGGAUAAUAAAAUUAAAUACAUUUAUAAGCAGUU